rnacentral:lncRNA from 1 species
AAGAAGUCAGGCCGGAUUAAGCCAUAGUACGGUAAGAGCUAUGCUGCCUGUGAGCCCCGUCUAAGGACGUAAAAUGAAGUCAGGCCGAAAGCCACGGCUUGAGCAAACCGUGCUGCCUGUAGCUCCAUCGUGGGGAUGUAAAAACCUGGGAGGCUGCAACCCAUGGAAGCUGUACGCAUGGGGUAGCAGACUAGUGGUUAGAGGAGACCCCUCCCGAAACAUAACGCAGCAGCGGGGCCCAACACCAGGGGAAGCUGUACCCUGGUGGUAAGGACUAGAGGUUAGAGGAGACCCCCCGCA